rnacentral:rRNA from 1 species
AGUGAACGCUGGCGGUAGGCCUAACACAUGCAAGUCGAACGGCAGCACAGUAAGAGCUUGCUCUUACGGGUGGCGAGUGGCGGACGGGUGAGGAAUACAUCGGAAUCUACUUUUUCGUGGGGGAUAACGUAGGGAAACUUACGCUAAUACCGCAUACGACCUACGGGUGAAAGCAGGGGAUCUUCGGACCUUGCGCGAUUGAAUGAGCCGAUGUCGGAUUAGCUAGUUGGCGGGGUAAAGGCCCACCAAGGCGACGAUCCGUAGCUGGUCUGAGAGGAUGAUCAGCCACACUGGAACUGAGACACGGUCCAGACUCCUACGGGAGGCAGCAGUGGGGAAUAUUGGACAAUGGGCGCAAGCCUGAUCCAGCCAUACCGCGUGGGUGGAGAAGGCCUUCGGGUUGUAAAGCCCUUUUGUUGGGAAGGAAAAGCAGCAGGUUAAUACCCCGCUGUUCUGACGGUACCCAAAGAAUAAGCACCGGCUAACUUCGUG